rnacentral:rRNA from 1 species
AGGAUUAACGCUGGCGGCGUGCCUGACACAUGCAAGUCGAACGAGGCCGCAAGGCCGAGUGGCGGACGGGUGAGUAACACGUGACCAACCAACCUCGAAGUUGGGAAUAGCUCUGCGAAAGUAGGGGUAAUACCGAAUGUGGCCCAGGGCGGGCAUCCGCCUUGGUCUAAAGAUUCAUCGCUUCGAGACGGGGUCGCGGCCUAUUAGCUUGUUGGUGAGGUAACGGCUCACCAAGGCGAUGAUGGGUAGCUGGUCUGAGAGGACGACCAGCCACACUGGGACUGAGACACGGCCCAGACUCCUACGGGAGGCAGCAGUGAGGAAUCUUCCGCAAUGGGCGAAAGCCUGACGGAGCAACGCCGCGUGUGGGAUGAAGACUCUAGGGUUGUAAACCACUGUCGGAGGAGACGAUCGUGACGGUACCCUCCAAGAAAGCCCCGGCUAACUACGCGCCAGCAGCCGC